rnacentral:rRNA from 1 species
AUUGAACGCUGGCGGCAGGCCUAACACAUGCAAGUCGAGCGAGCGGCGGACGGGUGAGUAAUGUAUGGGGACUGCCCGAUAGAGGGGGGUAACUACUGGAAACGGUAGCUCAUACCGCAUACUAUCGGAUAACCCAUAUGGGAUUAGCUCGUAGGUGAGGUAAUGGCUCACCUAGGGGACGAUCCCUAGCUGGUCUGAGAGGAUGAUCAGCGAGACGGGGACGGAGACACGGCCCAGACUCCUCCGGAGGCAGCAGUGGGGAAUAUUGCACAAUGGGCGCAAGCCUGAUGCAGCCAUGCCGCGUGUAUGAAGAAGGCCCUAGGGUUGUAAAGUACUUUCAGUCGGGAGGCGUUACCGACAGAAGAAGCACCGGCUAACUCCGUGCCAGCCGCCGCGGUAAUUC